GACGUAGGGCGCGAGCGUUGUCUGGAUUUAUUGGGCGUAAAGAGCUCGUAGGCGGCUCGUUGCGUCGGCGGUGAAAGCCCCGGGCUCAACCUGGGAAUGGCCGUUGAAACUGGCGAACUGGAGUGUGGCAGAGGGGGGUGGAAUUCCGCGUGUAGCAGUGAAAUGCGUAGAGAUGCGGAGGAACACCGAUGGCGAAGGCAGCCCCCUGGGCUGACACUGACGCUCAGGCACGAAAGCGUGGGGAGCAAACAGG
rnacentral:rRNA from 1 species